CAAAACGAAGGAGUGAAUGCGGAAUUAACUUCCUCAUAAAGAAAGAAGGAGCAAGUGUGAGAGUACACGAGCGGCGGACGGCUGAGUAACGCGUAGGAACGUACCCCAAAGUGAGGGAUAAGCACCAGAAAUGGUGUCUAAUACCGCAUGUGGUCUUCGGAUUAAAGCUUCGGCGCUUUGGGAGCGGCCUGCGUAUGAUUAGUUUGUUGGUGAGGUAAUGGCUCACCAAGGCUUCGAUCAUUAGCUGGUCUGAGAGGAUGAUCAGCCAGACUGGGACUGAGAACGGCCCAGACUCCUACGGGAGGCAGCAGUAGGGAAUUUCCACAAUGGGCGAAAGCCUGAUGGAGCAACGCCGCGUGCAGGAUGAAGGCCUUCGGGUUGUAAACUGCUUUUAUAUGUGACGAUUAUGACGGUAGCAUAUGAAUAAGGAUCGGCUAACUCCGUG
rnacentral:rRNA from 1 species